UGCCAGCCGCCGCGGUAACACGGGGGGCGCAAGCGUUAUUCGGAAUUAUUGGGCGUAAAGGGCGCGCAGGCGGCCCAUCAAGUUAGACGUGAAAGCCCCGGGCUCAACCUGGGAAUUGCGUUUAAUACUGGUGAGCUAGAGUACGAGAGAGGAAAGUGGAAUUCCUAGUGUAGAGGUGAAAUUCGUGGAUAUUAGGAAGAACACCAGUGGCGAAGGCGACUUUCUGGCUCGUAACUGACGCUGAGGCACGAAAGCGUGGGGAGCAAACAGGAUUAGAUA
rnacentral:rRNA from 1 species